ensembl:lncRNA PRKG1-AS1 PRKG1 antisense RNA 1
GGGUAUCUGGUUGCCUUAAAAAGGCUUGUUUCCUACUGGACCCAAUUUUUUGCCUUUAUUGGGAAGGAAGAUUAUGAUCAAGGCAAGGUUAAAACUGGCUCAGUACCACUGGCUGAUACACAAGAGAGAAGAAUAAAAGGAACUCGUCACAGCCUGAGUGACACAUGUUUGAAUGAGGCACAGAGGCACAGCACUGCUGUAGUGGUGACUCAACUUCAUGACCAGGGUGGUCCAGAGUUGGUGACUAUUAUGGCAUGGCUACCCAGGGCCAGAGAGGUGAGGUUUAAUGAGAAAGAAGAUAGAUGAAAAUGACUCCUCCUCCUGCUUUCACUGCUGCAGCAACUCAGGCCUGCAGACAAGAUCCAGCUCUAUUGCCCAAGCUGGAGUGCAGUGGUGAGAUAAUGAUUCACUGCAGCCUUGAUCUCCUGGGCUCAAGCAGUUCUCCUGCCUCAGCCUCCUGAGUAGCUGGGACCACAGGCACCCUCCACCAUGUCUGGCCAAAAUUUUUUGAAUUUUUUGUAGAGACCAGGUUUCACCAUGUUGCCCAGGCUGAUUUCAAAUUCCUGGGCUCAAGUGAUCUUCCUGCCUCAGCCUCUCAAAGUGCUGAGAUUACAAGUGUGAGCCACCACACCCAGCCAAAAUAUAAAUACGCCUUUAAUAGUAACACCUAAUUACCUAACACCAUCAAAAAUGGGGUGCUCCAUGAAGAAGCACAUAAUUCAAAUUAUUGAAGUUUAUCCCUUCUAAUGACCACAUAGAUUUCUCUUGCCCCAUUAAAAAAUUAGAUAAUCAGUAUUUCUAGGAUAGUUGUUUUCUUCCAACCAAUUAAGGCAUAAUCUAUGUAGCAGAACAUUCAGAGGAUGAUGCCUGGUCAACAUUUGAAUAAACAAUCACUGUGAUGUUACCUCUAUUUAAGAUGACUCCAAUAAAACUUCUAUGGUUUGCAUUAUUAGUUGAUCAGACUUUAAGCAUUAUCUUUUGAUAGGGUCAAGGAACCUGUCUUAACUCCCCAUCUCUGACCAAAAUAUACUUGUUUUCUAUAAGCUAUAAAGCCAGAUAGCCAAUUUUAUGAGAAUUGUCCCUAUACUAUAUCCAUGUGAGCGAUGAGUGCCUGGCAUGAAGAUGCAUAAAGGAGGCAGUAAUAUACAACAACUGAAGCAUAACCUCUGGAGCCAGUCUUCUUCAGACAAAUCCCAAUUCCAUUACUCACUGGCCACCUAAACAAGCUACUUAAUUCAUCUGCCUCAGUUUUCUUCAACUGUUUAAUGGGUAUGAUCAACAAACCAACUUCAGUGGGUUAUCAUAAAUAUUAAUAAAUGAGAGAAUGCAUGU